rnacentral:rRNA from 1 species
AGUGAACGCUGGCGGUAGGCCUAACACAUGCAAGUCGAACGGCAGCACAGUAAGAGCUUGCUCAUACGGGCGGCGAGUGGCGGACGGGUGAGGAAUACUUCGGAAUCUACUUCUUCGUGGGGGAUAAUGUAGGGUAACUUACGCUAAUCCCGCAUACGUCCUACGGGUGUAAGCAGGGGAUCUUCGGACUUUGCGCGAUUGAAUGAGCCGACCUCGGAUUCGCUAGUUGGCGGGGCAAAGGCCAAGCAAGGCGACGAUCCGAAGCGGGUCUGAGGGGAUGAUCCGCCACACUGGAACUGAGGCUCGGUCCAGACACCUACGGGGGGAAGCGGUGGGGAAUAUUGGGCGAUGGGGGCAAGCCGGAUCCAGCCAUACCGCGUGAGUGAAGAUGGACUUCUGGUUGUAAAGCCCUGUUGUUGGGAAAGAAAAGCAGCAGGUUAAUACCCCGCGAUUCUGACAGUACCCGAAGAAUAAGCACCGGCUAACUUCGUG